rnacentral:snoRNA from 1 species
CCACGCACAAUGAUGGCCCUAAUUAUGCCGGCGAGGACGGCGGGCGGCCCGGACGGGGAGGCGACGACGAAAGCGUCUGCAUGCUACUGAUUGCGUGG